rnacentral:lncRNA from 1 species
AGACACUAUCUAAGUAGUUUUAUUUUCUAUUCCUCAAGAGCUUAAAGGAAAGAUUUCAUCCUACUUGUCUACAUUCAGCUGUGUUUAUAUGUGCCACUAAAUGGUUUUAUUCAGAUUGAUUCAGGCGGGGCCAUAAAAUCAAUGCAUUGCCACCUAGUCGAUCUGAUUGGGUUGUUAAAACAAGUGAACUAAUCAGACCACUUCUUAAAAAUCAGAUCACAUCACCUGUGUGUGAUUUGCCUGUCCCCUGGGCAACUGGCGUGGUAAUCAGAAAUCAAGCCCAAAUAAACUCAGCCAAAUGCUUCAUGUAGUUCUGGCCCAAGCUAGCCCCAUCCUUACAGGUAAGGGACAAGAAACAGCUCAAUGUUUGACCAGUUGCACGCACAAUCUGAGUGGCACCCCAUGCACCCCAUUGGGUUGGAAAUGGCAGUGGACUCUGGGCAUGUUCAUGCCUUUCAACAGGUAGUAGAGUCUUUUGUUUUACGGGAUUAAGGAGCAGUCUGAGGCAGCAGCAAUCAAGACAAAGCAGGUAUAAAGCCAUUAGGGAGCGGAAAGGAGUGAGCUGUUGCUUCUCAUUUCACCCCCAAAAUGGGGAGCUGGAUUUGCAAGCAGACCCCCGUGCAGAGUGGGCCUCAUCACUACUUCCUGGCUUCUCCAGGGCCUCAGUCAAAAGAAAGUCUGCAUCUAGCUUCCUCAUUGGCUGACAGUCAUGAUCAAAGGGGUCAUGAUCAAGAGGAGCCAAGUGAUCACACCAUUAGCAAGAGGAGUCUCCAACUUGGGCUUUAGGUUCUGAUUCAUAGUUUUUAAAAGACCCUGGCUUGUGGCCUAAGUGGAUACAGUCAGUGUUUCUCCAUCAAAAAAUUGUUCUUGCUGGUGUCCUGGAUUUUUGCAGAACUGAGGAAAUUAACCAAUUGCCUUUAUCUAUUUAUAUCAUGGUUGUGGCCAUAUUAGUCCAUGAGAAUAAAAUCGCCACUACCAAAACAUGGACUGGAUAAUAGCAUUAUUUGGAGAGAAAGUCCCAAAUUAUUAGAUAGUAAUAUUAAUUAUAAUUUUGACAUUAAAACAGAAAACCAUUCUGCAUUGUUUGUGAGAUGAUGUACUGGGGUGCAGUUAGAUUUCUGUGUGUUUAUAGAGGAAGCCCUGGCCUGUCCAGGAUCCAGCAGCUCAAAGCCAUUUGCUUUGUCUUCAGGCCACUGGCCUGGGAUUCAUAGUUGCAGCAACUCACCAGACAGGAAAGGGUGACAAAACAAAACGAGAGUAGUGACACUGGGUGACUAUGAAUACAUUUAAGAAGGUAAAUAAAGCCAGACAUGGUAGCUUAGGUCUAUAAUCCAAGUGCUUUGGGAGGUCCAGGAGGGAGGAUUGCUUGAGGCCAGGAAUUCAAGACAGGUCUGGACUACUUAGCAAUACCCCAUCUGUACGAAAAAUAAAUUUUAAAAAAGAAGGUACAUAAGACAAUAUGGAAGAUAUUGGGGAAAGUCUACACUUGAUAGCCAGUGGCAUCAUGAUAUGAGUUAUUUAUGUUCUAGACUGGGAUGAAUGUACUCCAAAUUUACCCCUUAAACAUCUUCUUGUACCAUUUUUGAUGGCUUAUGAAAACAUAAUUGAAAAUAAUUAAAAUGUAAACAUUCAUUGUGUUUAGGAAUAUUCUUAGUUCCCAUUUCCUCCUUCCUCAAUCCUUUCCCUCCUGCUAGCAUGUGCACGCACACACACACACACACACACACACACACACCAGAGCAGGAAAGAGAAACUUGCUCAUACUUGCAUACAAUUUUAAGUUUAAAUCAAGCCAAUGGCAGUCAAAUGGAGGCCACGUGUUUUCUCUCAGGUACUAAAAUGAUACAAAAUAAGCUAAUUUUCUUCAGGCAACAGGACACCACAGGAGCCCCAAACCUGUGGCCUUUCCCUUGGAAACUCAUGUCUUAGAAGCUGCCUGAGCUCCUGUCCACUGCACGAGCUGAUUCCUUUCUUUGCAUUCCUCUAAGGCACCUUACUCCUAAGGUCCAGGCAAUGUUUUGAUAGGAAGUGCCCCUGCGAGCAAGUCUUACCAGCCACUCAGAGGAUGGAACUUCCCUUUGUUUCUUGGCCACCACAAGUGAUGAAUGAAAGCCCCUGUCAUCGUGUAGUUUAAUACUGGCAUUGCUCUUGGGAGCCAAGGAGUCCUAGAUGACUGAAUUCUGCUGUGAGGUCUGUAGCUCAGGGAGAAGAUGAGACAAGUGGACUUGGAAAGAACAAUCUUCCUCGAAAAAGUCCUCAGGGUGCAAAGAAGAGAAAUGCAAUAAAAUGAUAAUGAGGAGGCCCAGGACCCGCACAAGGGCACCACUGCAAGUAGAUACUUCGAGGAAACUUCCUGAUGCUUGUCCAGCCCUUGGUGGUGGUGCCCGGCAGCCCGUAUUCUUAUCCCAAAGCAAUAUGUGUGGAGACAGCCCAGCAAAAGCUGAGAGAUUGUGUGUCCAGAGACAUGUUCCAGGAAUGGAAACAGAGAGUGGAGGAGUUUCUUCUCUCCUCCCGUCUCCCGCUAGAGUGGGCGGUCCCUUUGGUGUCAUCGCACUGUCUUCAUAGCCUACUGCGCUCCAGGCCUGUGCGCCCAUGGCGGUCUUGGACCACGAGUGAGCCAUGAGCCCUCCCAAGCCCCAAGGCCAGGUCUGAAGCGGGCUGAUGUGUGCCCCUGGCUUUGUUGCCCAGAUCCUCACCACAAUCCCAGCAUCCCACCACUCUACUGCGAGAAGAGACAAGGGAGGAGAUGCACACCUCAGAGAAGGAGCAGAUUUCAUUCAAAGUCCGAGGGAGGCCAGGGCUCCUGGUCCUGGACUUCGUGUCAAUUGGUUCUUCCUGGAAAAGACAAUUGGAGGCACCUUCACCUUGUUUUUACUAUAUGGGUCGCGUGGCAGUGCUGGAGAAAAAGACAAUCCCCAAAGAGCACAUUGUCCUAAAGGAAGAGUCAACACCUGCUAACAGUUUAUCUUGUCAUACUAAGCCUCAAGCCCUGAGCACCAUUGCUCAGCUGCACUCACGGUCUUGGUACUGUUGCCUGGUGUAACUACACAACCUCUGGGCUGAUGACGCAAAAACACGUGAUAUGUAAUAGCUCAUUUAAUUCUCGCAACUGUAAUUAUCCCCAUUUCAUGACUUCCAUUUGACGGAAAGAUUAAGCGGCUAAUCCUCCAACACAAUUUAAGUGGCUUGUUCCAUAACUAGUGAAGAGAUUGAAAAUUUGAACUCCUCUGCCGAGCUCCGGAACCUGUGCUCCUAAGGGAGGAAUGGGCUGGAGCUCCCCACAGUGGUCAUCAUGUAAACCCAACACUUCCUACAUUCAUUGAUUUCUGCCUAAUUUACAUUCCUCUUUUGUUAGUUGCUCACAAGUCCCUCCUCCAUCCUCUUCUUCCCAAGCCCUGGUCAUUAAAAUCAAAGUCUUAAAUCUCAGAUACCACUCUCCCUGCACCUAGGCCCUUAUUUUCAUCCGUAUCCAGAGAGUCUUAACCUCUUGUCUUACGUUUGUCUAACUUGAACCUGUACGACCUAUUCCUUGAGACUCUAUAUUUUAAAAACCUGCACAGAUCUUAUCAAAAAAUUAUUUGUACCUCUGCUUCUACCAUUAGGUGACCAUUGCCUUUUCUCUGAAGACACCAUUUCUCUUGUAAUCUUCUCAACGUAUCUUUCUCUUAUUCCUGUCCCUUAACUGAACGAAAGUGGGAUCGGCUUUUCCGUUCUCUCCAGUACUUCUCUCGACCACUGUUUUGUGAUUAUUAUCCAAGAGCUUUGCUGGUGUUGGACUCCAUAUAGCACUGUUUCUAACACUUUCUUGCUUUCCUGAGUGACCCCAGCAUCUGGCUCACAGCCUUCCCUUUCCUUGCUAAAGUCCGAGCGACUCCGACAUCAAAAUUGAUCAUCUUCCCAACUGUGUACUCAGGCAGUGUUCAAGUUCCACUUCCCGAGGGAGUUCUGUCUUGCUUCCAUGGAGCUGUCCACCUGGUUGUCUCAUUUUUAAACAGCUUUAUUAAGAAAUCAUCGACAUACAAAAAUGUAUACAUUUAAGAUGUGCAACUUGAUGUUUUAGUAUACGUUAUUAAAUUAUCACCACAAUCAAGCUAAUUAAACAUAUCCAUUACCUCUGCAUAGUUGCAAUUGUUUAUGUGCGUGUGUGUGUGUGUGUGUGUGUGUAGUGAGAAGAUUUAAGAUGUGUCCUCUCAGCAAAUUACUAGUAUACAAUACAGUUUUGUUAAUUAACAUGACCAUGCUGUACAUAAGGUCUCUAGAAAUUAUUCAUAUUUCAUAACUGAAUCUUUGUAUCUUUUGGCCAGUAUCACCCUAUUUCUUCCUUGACCAGGCCCUGGAAACCACUAUCCUACUAUCUGCUUCUAUAAAUUUGACUAUUUUCAAUUUCACAUAUAAAUGAGAUCAUGCAGGAUUUCUGUUUCUGUGUCUUGUUUGUUUCACCUAGCAUAAUGUCUUCCAGCUUCAUCAUGUUGUGGCUAACA